rnacentral:rRNA from 1 species
AUGGGUUGUAAUAGAGUUGUUGUGAUUUCUGAUAAUAGUGAAUUAAUAGAAAUUAUGAAGAACGGGAGGCCCCCUACAGGUAUUGCUGCAGCGAUUUAUCAUGAUUGUUUUUCUAUGGAGUCAGAUUUUGUUAGGGUUAAGUAUGAGCAUGUGAAUAGGGAAACAAAUUAUGUAGCUCAUGAACUAGCUCAGUUAGCUAAAUUCCAGACCAGUACGGUCUGGUUGGAUGAUCCUCCCCCCUCUAUUGUACCACUCAUGUUGAAUGAUGUAACAUUAUUAUCUAUUGAAUAA